GAGUGUGGUCACCAUCUGUUCCCAAAGUUGUUACAAUAUUAUCGACUGUAUUCCCUUUGCUGUACUGAUCAUCCUGGUGACUGAUAUAUUUAACUGGAAGCUCAUCCGUAUUUUAAAUAAACUUUAUUUUAGAAUAGUUUUAGAUUUACAGAAAAAUGCAAAGAGAGUACAGAGAGUUCCAUUAUACUCGAUACUCAUUUUUCCAUUACUAACAUCUUCUGUUCAUUAGGUACUUCUGUAGGACAGAAGUCUCACGGGGUUGAGUUCAAGGUGUCGGCAGGGCUGCACUCCUUUCUCCAGGCUUGAGGGGAAAAAUGGGUUUCUUUGCCUUCUCCAGGCUUCUAGAGGCUGCCCCGUUCCUUGGCUUUCCUCCGUCUUCACAGCUUACAGCGAGCAUCCCCCUCUGACCAUUCUUCACUAGUCACAUCUGCUUGGACUGCAGCUGGGGAAGCUUCUCCACUUCUAAGGAUUCAUGUACCCGCUUGGAUAAUUCAGGAUAACCUCGCCAUCCCAAGGUUUCUAACCUUAAUCACAUCUGCUAAGUCCCUUCUUCCACAUAGCCAAGAAAAAGGUACCUCACUGCCACAUCACUCAUCCCUCUGAGCACUCCUGGCACGUGCUUACCUCAUUCCUCCCAGUGUGGAGGUCAUCGCCCUGAGAGACAUCUGUCCAGGUAAGCCUGCCCUCUUCAGGUGUGUGCUCGGGACCUCCCAUGACCACUGAUGCGCCAUCUGUAAAUCAGGUGAGUGCAUCAGACCCUGUUCCUAUGUGCAGAGGGAGCUGCAAAAUGGAAUCGUGUUCCAGAACCUCCCAUUCAGAGCCCUCGCGUAGUUCAGCCUGCUUCCAGCUGCUAGAAUAUAUUCAUCUGAUGGAACGGCACUGUUUUGGGGAUUCCUUUUAUUUUUCAAGGCCAAGCCAGUAUGAAGGAAGGAGGCUCCGUGCCGCUCUCAAUCAUUUUGUAUCUCUGAGCUUCAAUUUUCCCAUCUGUGAGAUGGGGACGAUAGUAUGAGUUUGGUAGUAACAGCUGCCUUAGCCCAGAGCUAGGCACAGUGUCAGGACUUGAUAAAUGACCCCUAUUGGGGUUACAGUGGCCCCGACACUGACGGUUUUCUGCGUAGCGUCUGCCUCCGUAAGGGCUGGGUUCAGUCCCCCGUCUGGGAAAGGAAGGCGCUGGGACAUUGUUACUUAUUUGCCCAUCGGGGGUUGUGAUCAUCCUAGCCAUUCCCCCCAGGUUCCCUGCUCAAGCUGCACCCUGACUGGGGUGGAGUAUCCUCCUCUGUGUGCUUUAGGAGGAAAUCCUGAUGUGUCCAAACCAACUGCGGUGGCCCCACGCCCUUGUCUGGGAGGGGACGUGGGGCCCAGUUCUGCCCAAUGACACUUCAGGGGAUGUCUGCUGGGUGUUGGGGGGUGGUUGCUGGGUGUUGUCCUAUCUGCAGGAGACCCAGGGUACUGCUGCAGCCAUAUCCCCACCGGGAGGAAGCCCCCUGACCCAGCUGGCUGUGAUCAUCCCAGGGCAGGAGAGAGAAGAAUCUGCUCCUUGAUGGGGAUAUGGUGAGAUGUGGUCGCGGUCCACCGAGAUGGAGCAUCAUCAAGCCAGCCUUGCGUUUUCUGUGACUUUCCUGGACGUGGGCACCCACUGGCCACCCCUGGAUGGCAGAGAGCUUCUACUUCCUAAGUUCCUAAGUUCAAGGUGACUGGUGGAUCAUGUCAGAGCAACUCCCUUCUCUGCUUAACCUUGAGCCUUCCUGGGCUCCCCGUUUCCCUCUGCACGAAGCCCAUACUGUGAGCAAGCCACAGGACCCAGUGUGGUGGUCUGGCCCUUGGCCAGCCUUGCCCACCACACUGGCCUUUCCUGUAACUCCCAUGGCCAGUUUCUGCCAUGCUGUUCCUUCUGCCUGGAAGGCUCUACACCGCUUCUAACUCCUCUUUAUCCUUCAGGUCUCAUAAAUGCCCCUUUCUCUGGGAAGCCCUCCCUGAUCCUCUCUGAUGAGGUCAGGUUGCCUGGCCUUGGGGCACACUGCAUUUUUCCCAUAGUGCUCACUGCAGUGGGAAAGAAAUGAUUUUUUUUUUUAAUUAAUAACCUGCCCACACUAGACUGUGUGGAUUUCAUGAGAGCAGGGACCUCGCUGCCUUGUUCCUACGAUGUGUCCCCUGUCUCUGUUGUACUGAUUGGUACACAGCAGGUGCUUAAUAAAUACUGGAUGAAGGAGUGAGUGAAACUCUGGCCAGUGGGACACUAACUUAAGCACACUUGUAGUGGGGGACACGGGGACUGGAGGUGGAGGGCCACACCUUUGCUGGAGAUGUUUGCCCCCAACCUGGGCCAUGUGCCAGGACUGGUUCUUGAAAGCGAGCGCAAUCUCGGUUGAGCAAGCACCUGGGGUGUUCCCAAACUCCUCUACUGAAUUUCAAGAGCCUUAGUCCCUGGGAAAAUCUUCCCCACUUGUCCUGUCUCCUCAGGUGUGUCACCGCACCACCCUCACCAGGACAACAAAGUGCUCACGUGACUGGCCUGGGUCCUGGGGGAAGGGCAGCAGGAGCGAGGGACAGGGCCCCCUGCACCCCAAAGCCACUAUUGGAAUUAGAAAGUAGAAGGAUGUAGAGAGCAAGAUGGAGUCACUCAUGUCAAGCAGGGGCCCGUGCGGAGCAAUGACGCCAGCCGUUAAGGGUACCUCGGCUACGAGACAUCCACCAGCUGACCACACUCCAGAGCUGAUAACAAGCAGGAGCUGAGACUGUCAGACUCUUGAGCCAUGACCCCUCUAUGCCUGGCCACUUAAAAAAGGCAGCGGUCCCCGAAGGCUCUGCCUGUUGGAUCCCCCAACAGAACUGAGAUCCUUCGCCGCUUGAACAGAAUAAGAAGCAGUAAGUGCCAAGAGCUGACCCGGGACUAGGCCCCGGUCUCGUCUCAACGGUGCACCCACAGACUGAUUCCGCGUUUUUUCUUUUUUUCUUCAUUAACUUCCUCCCCCCUCUGUUAUCUUGUUUGUUGUGUGACUUGUGUUCUGCUCUGCAUGCCAUGUAAGAAGCCAAGUUAGUCACGUGGUGAAAUGUCAUUGAGUUUGGAAUCCUGAACCUGCUGUAUAAUUAUGUGAGCCUUGCUUUAUGACUGAAUAAAGCUGACAUUGUGGAAAGACA